UGCUCACUAGCAGGGCCUCGGCCCUAACUACUUGCAUUGCUCAGUGGAAUACACCGUGAGGUACCGGGCCCAUUUUGAGCCCUUCUGUGUCUGCCUGUCUGCCGUUCCUGUUUAUCAACUGCAAUCACAGUUGGGCGCCAUGAGAAUUCGUAAUGCGUAAGCCAUCGCGCCGUUCAGAGAUUAAAGUAGAUUUCACGCAAGCUCCCGAAGAACCGAACAAAAAUAAUAGCUGGGCGUAAUCGCCGGUGCAGGAUCGGAAAUUCAAAGGACGAUUCUGCAAUGCAGUCACUACGCCCCUUCCACGGAUUCUCUGCGUAUGUUCGUAUGGGACUGGACAAAUAAAAGGGAUUAUCAGCACUUAGAUCAAUUUGUCAAAUCAAUUCCAACUAAACAAUUGUCUUUGCCAGCCGAAGACAACAACAACAACAACAACAACAACAACAACAAGAACAACAAUUAGAGCGGUAGAAGUUGAUACUGUUGCUAUCGGAGGAACUGGGAUGAUUAUUGUCCAGCCCGCCGCGAAAUCCUUCUCGGGCGCUUUCGUUGCUGGUUAUUACUACGCACGAGGAACGAGCUGGCAGCCACCCUGACGAAUG